UCCGGCAUAGCUCAGUCGGUAGAGCAAGCGGCUGUUAACCGCUAGGUCACUGGUUCGAGUCCAGUUGCCGGAG
rnacentral:tRNA from 1 species